rnacentral:rRNA from 1 species
UACGGAGGAUCCGAGCGUUAUCCGGAUUUAUUGGGUUUAAAGGGAGCGUAGGUGGAUUGUUAAGUCAGUCGUGAAAGUUUGCGGCUCAACCGUAAAAUUGCAGUUGAAACUGGCAGUCUUGAGUACAGUAGAGGUGGGCGGAGUUCGUGGUGUAGCGGUGAAAUGCUUAGAUAUCACGAAGAACUCCGAUUGCGAAGGCAGCUCACUGGACUGCAACUGACACUGAGGCUCGAAAGUGUGGGUAUCAAACAGG